ensembl:lncRNA
ACGGAUCAUCUUCCAUGGUCUUGGCGUCCCGGACCCUACUCCCCUCGGGUCAGAGGUGUAUGCAAUAGUUCUAAUCGUCAGAGGGGUAUGGGAUGGUUCUAAUCGUCAGAGGGGUAUGGGAUGGUUCUACUCGUCAGAGGGGUAUGGGAUGGUUCUACCGGUCAGAGGGGUAUGGGAUGGUUCUACAGGUCAGAGGGGUAUGGGAUGGUUCUACAGGUCAGAGGGGUAUGGGAUGGUUCUACAGGUCAGAGGGGUAUGGGAUGGUUCUACUGGUCAGAGGGGUAUGGGAUGGUUCUACAGGUCAGAGGGGUAUGGGAUGGUUCUACAGGUCAUAGGGGUAUGGGAUGGUUCUACAGGUCAUAGGGGUAUGGGAUUGUUCUACUGGUCAGAGGGGUAUGGGAUUGUUCUACUGGUCAGAGGGGUAUGGGAUUGUUCUACUGGUCAGAGGGGUAUGGGAUGGUUCUUCUGGUCGGAUGGGUAUGGAAUGAUGGUUCUACUGGUCAGAGGGGUAUGGGAUGGGGAUGCGCUUCAUAAACUUGAGUAUUGGCUGAUACUGAAUAUGAUUUUGUUUUGGGGAUAUAUAUCAUUAAUUUAUUUAACACAGUACUACUAUGGAUUUGGUAUGAUUGUUGUAUGGCUGGGCUCGGGUUGAACCAUUUGUCAAACACAAACCAACACAACAACUGGCAUUGUAACUACUUGC